rnacentral:pre_miRNA from 1 species
GAACUACUCCCUCCGUCCCAAAAUUCUUGUCAUAGGUUUGUCUAGAUAUGAAUAUAUCUAGUCAAGUUUUAGUAUUUAGAUACAUCCAUUUCUAAACAAAUUUAAGACAAGAAUUUUGAGACGGAGGUAGUACAAA